rnacentral:rRNA from 1 species
GGCCUGGUUGGGCGGUCUUGCCGAAAGGUAAGUACUGCUCCGAUCGGGUCUUUCCUUCUGGGGAACCAGUGUGCUCUUAACUGAGUGCGCUGGGGAUCCAGGACUUUUACUUUGAAAAAAUUAGAGUGUUUAAAGCAGGCGAAACAGCUUGAAUACAUUAGCAUGGAAUAAUAAAAGAGG